AACGAACGCUGGCGGCAUGCCUAACACAUGCAAGUCGAACGAGACCUUCGGGCCUAGUGGCGCACGGGUGCGUAACGCGGGGGAACCUGCCCUUAGGUUCGGAAUAACUCCCCGAAAGGGGUCCUAAUACCGGAUAAUGUCUUCGGACCAAAGAUUUAUCGCCUUUGGAUGGGCCCGCGUUGGAUUAGCUUGUUGGUAGGGUAAAAGCCUACCAAGGCGACGAUCCAUAGCUGGUCUGAGAGGAUGAUCAGCCACACUGGGACUGAGACACGGCCCAGACUCCUACGGGAGGGAGGAGUGGGGAAUAUUGGACAAUGGGCGAAAGCCUGAUCCAGCAAUGCCGGGUGAGUGAUGAAGGCCGUAGGGUUGUAAAGCUCUUUUACCCGGGAUGAUAAUGACGGUACCGGGAGAAUAAGCACCGGCUAACUCCGUG
rnacentral:rRNA from 1 species